rnacentral:lncRNA from 1 species
CGGUUACGUGCGCGCUCCUAUCAACGCUGUCACUAGCAAAAUCGGAGGUUAAUAUUCAGAAAUGCUCCGCCGAUAAAAGUUUCUAAACGAUUUAACUUUUAAUUUACAUACCUUAAAACUGCUGCAUUAAGUUUUGUAUAAGGUCUGGUUUAUUCUGUGUCAGUUUUGUAACUUUGUGAAUUUUCUAACUGAAGUUAUAUCGAGUUUCGUUCUGAAAGUAGCCAUUAAUGCUAGCGGGAUACAGUUGCUUUUAUGCUAGGUGGGAGGCUCCGGUUUUAACACACCUUUGCUCUUUUAUCAGGGAGAUGUUCGCUGCAGACGACAAACACACCGAGCUCAUGGAUUCUUGUAUUUUUUGUCUAUAAAUACAGGUAUACAGACAUUUUUCUGUGUUUUAAUAAUUAUAUUUUGUUAAAAUUUGACAUCUGGUGUUGAGGGGGCUCUACUUUUAUAUCGGUUGUGUUCAGAGCUGUUAAAAUAGGCUUAAAUGCAAAAAAAAGUGUACUUGCUAUUUAAGUGUGCAUUUCAUUGUUAAAUAGCUACAAAAGAUACUGUGUUUUUGGCUUCAAAUCGUUAAGAAUAUGGUGUCAUAAUUGUUUAUUUCAUCGGCAUUUCAUGGUUACAAUUUAUUUACUUCUUUUACUGUUGUAUAUUUAUGUCAUGUAACAAAUAGGGGAGAGUGGGGUAAGUUGAGCCACCCCCCUGUUGCUUGUAAAUGGUAAAAGAAAUUGAUCCUGUGACCAAAUAUCUAGGAGAUGGGCAUCAAUUCAUUGAGUCUGUGAAAGGUUAGAAGCACAUGGGUGACAUUUAUUUCCAAAAAAACAUAUUUCACCCUUGAAAGCGAAUUUAGUCUGUCAUAAGUUUUAUUAGAAUUGUGUUCAGAUCAAAAAGAUCAUUUUAAAUUUGUUUUAUACAUCAAUUGUGGUAUCAAUGAGCUACAACAUGGUCAACUUACCCUAUAGACGGGGUUAGUUGACCAAAGGAGGACACUUUGUUCUGGCAUGCUACAUUAUCAAGACAGUUCUCUUUACACUCACUCUGUUGGUUUGUAGGGAUGAACAACAUCUUGAAAUAUAUGCAGAUACACUAGUUAGAGACAAAACUAGGAUUGACUUGAUGUAGUGAUCCGAUAUAUGCAAAGUGGCUCAUCUUACCCUACUGUCCCCUACUUAAAAAAAAAGCUGCUGCAGACUGAGCUCAUGGAUUCUUGUAUUUUUUGUCUAUGAACACAGAACGGCCAAAUUGAAGAACCAGAAGCUACGUAAUGUUUUCCUGACUGGUCAGUAUAACCCAGAACACAACACACACACGGUUUACAUAAGCAUGUUCUUUUAGUUUUCUCCCUUCCAUCUUUAAAACUGCAAAACCUUAUUCGACAACAGAGGGAACAUCACUUUGUCAUACCUCAUAAAGCCUUGUCAUUAUUUCUCCAUUAAUUCUCUAAAAGGGAUAAAAUAAAAAUAGCACCUUGUGGGCAGAAGUUACAAGCCCUGCAGCCUUUCCUUUCUGCAGUUCAGGCACUAAACGAACUAGUCAGUGAUUGUAAGUCACCCCGGAUAAGACUUGUAAAUCUCUAUCUGUUCCUGUGAAUGACAGCACUACAAUACGUGAAAGCAAGUCUUUAAAUAAGACCAAUGCAAAAUAGUGUUUUAUAUCCUAAGCUCUGGCAUUAAACCCUCUACCUGAGAGUGUAUUAUAGCUGACCCUGACGCUCCAUCGUAUCUCUUUGAAGCCAUCACAGCUCAGCAUGGUUCAGAAAUAUUACCAUAUCUAUAAAGCAAAGGGAUCCAGUAAUGACUACAAAAAGAAAUACCUUCACCUCUUUCUGCUGAGUUCAAACACAGUAGCAUGGUAACGGCUUAAAGCUACCCCUCUAAAGCACUAAUGUGUUCAAAUACCCACGGGCCCCUCAUUGCAGCAAGAUUGAAAAUACCAGCAGUGACUGCUAGCCAGGCACUUAAACAGAAAAAAGGCCCAUGGUCACCCUCUGUGACAUGUAGCAUCUUAAUGGUGCUGUUAUGAUGAGGGCUACGGGAGGAGCAUAUAUCAUUUGAGCCCCUUUUGCUCGACUCAUCAUUGCAUGAUAGAUCACCUGCAGCCCAGAGCACUGCAGUAAAGUAUGUGGUAAGAAUUGCCUACAAAAACCAGAGCUCAGGACAUUCUGCUGCUUCAUUGCUGUUUCAUGGCAUAUCACCACCCAGCAUGCACGCACAGAAGAAGACACUGACACAUCAUGCAGCAGAGAGACAUUAUAUAUUUACAUUACUGCUGACUUCAAAUGACACGACUGUGCAUCACAUCUCUCUCUCUCUCUCUCUCUCUCUCACACACACACUCCUGCAUGCCCAAGUGUGUCUGCCUACCUGGUGCAGCAUUAAAUAGAAACAAAGUGCUGACUGACCUAUUAAAAUAUUGCUUAAUGGCAUCAUUAGCAGUACAAAAAAAAAAGAAAAGAAAAUCCCACAGGGGGCUUUUUAAGGCCUUGGCUGAAACUUUCAGAUCAUUUCUUUGAUGGCUUCAGUGAAUAAUGAACUUAGAGUCAACUUUGUCUUUCAGAAUUAUAACUAGUAGGAAAAAAAAAGACCAAGUUAAGUUCCAAGUACUCUGAAUAGAAAGACAAAUAUUUUUCUGUGUGAUGUCGAGGUUUCAACAGAAGUACCUUAGAGGCUGCCAUUCAGUGUGAUUAUAUAAAUGUCAGAUCAGACUGCAUAACGACCAAAAUAUAACCAAAACUGACUCAAGUAUGAUCCAAACAGGUUGCUCAAGAUGCUCCCUUGAUCAUCCCUACUGUUGGUGAAUCGGCGGUGGCCUUUGAGGACAAGACGCUCCUGCGACACUAGGUAAGAGUGAACCUUUAUUACAAAAACUCAUCGGCUCUGUGCCUCCGUUAAAACAUAAUGAAGCAAAAUGCCAGCCGCCAGGUUCCAUGUCUGUCCAUUUAUUGUGGUGUUUUUUAAGAGGGUAUACACUUUUUCUCCAGCUGGCUUGCAUGGAAACAGUUUCUCUUUGCAGAAAGCGAUUGCUUCUGUUUCUUUCUCUUCUUCUUGUCGUCUUCUGAAAUUGUUGAAUUCAUCUCAACUUAUGAAGCCGAACUGAUCUUAAAUUAUAUUUACACAGCAUUAACUCCGCUUCCUUUUCACAUUUACUGUCGUAUCAAACUCAAACUCUUCUUUUGGUCCUCUGGUGAGUGUCCUUAUUGAGCCCUUUCUUUGUAAAGUAUGCCCAGGAUCAUGUACUGACAGCACAGGCUCAUAAAGUCAUAUGUAAUGUUGCUUUGCUAAUGGCAACACCGGGGAAUAAGAAGCCCUGAUGUUGGGAAACCGGUUUGUGCCUCUGCUUUUACUCUUGCAAGUGUGUCAGUCACGACUCAAAAACUGAGGCAGAUUCAGCUUCACUUCUCAGUUGUUUUCUGGCGUUUGACGCAUUCACUGACAUGCACUUUUGUUUUAAUGCAGUUUUUUGAUAUUUGAAUGAUACUUCCCUCUGUUAUAUUUCAAUCCUUCUGUGUAUCUUCAAUUUCUAUAAUCCAAAUGUAGUUGUAGUCUUUUAAACUCUGAACCUUUGUGUUCAGCAGUGUGCAGUUUCCAUGCGGAUGUGUAGCUCUCCUUGAUACCACCUGUUUUUGCCACCUUUGCAGUGACCCACAUGGUAGUUUAGCCCAGCUUUGGGUGGUGAUUUUUUUUUUAGAUUAAAAAUGCAAUUCCGGAAACCAAUCAACGAAGACUUUCUCUGUCUCCCCCAGCAACUACUGUGUCAGCCAACCCUGCAGAAGCAAAACAAUGCAGCGAAAAACACAGACAGCCAAGGAAGUAGUAGUUACAUCUGUCUGUGUUUUUAGAUUAUUUCCACACUAUCGUUAUUUAUAUCCCGGGCCAGAGGUUCUCACACUCCAUUAUUUCCGACAGGCUGUUCAAUUUCUGCCGGACGAGCGGCAGCAGCGAUCAGGUGGCCACAUUGUAUUGUAUUUAUGUGUGAUUGUAGGAACACGAUGCCUCAUUAGACCUUUAGUGCCCUGGCUCGCCGCGGCCCCAUCCACACACAAUAGCCCAUCUUAUUAUAUCUAUCUCUCGCCCACCUGACCACUCCACAGAGAGCUCUGGCAGCCGCAGUCAAGCUGUUGGAGAUCAUGGGCAACUGGGACCUUUUGUACAUUGUAACAUCUGCACACUGGCUGCCUGUGACAAGGUCUGGCGCUGUGAUCUCCCCCAAAACACCUAUUUUUUUUUUUUUCUGUCUCAGCUGCCUCCCUGAACUCUCUCGCUCUGCUCUUGUUUUUUUCUCCUCUCAUGUCUCCUCCUUUUUUGUCAUCUCCUUUUUUCUCUCACCACCAAAAGACUGGCUAUAUAUAACCACUGCUUCACUGACCUCCCUUGAAAUUACACAACAUUUUUCCCCAUUAUUAUUUCCCCCCCUUUCCUGACCACCUCUUAUAUAUUCCCCGCGGCUUUGCAGGCUCUUAUUUUUUUUGUCCCUUUCCUUUUCCAUCACGAUCCAUUCUCGGUCUUACCUGUCUGUUCUACCUCCUCUCAUGUCAGCUUGUCUCUCAUGUUCUCUUAAGUACUCCCUCCAUCUCUCUCACAUACACACACACACAUAUAUAAACCCCCCCCACCCCCUCGUCUGUCUCCUCUAUCACCCCACCUCCAAAGCUAAAGCUGUCUGACUUCCUACCUGCACAGUCCUUUGAGAACACAGACGUACAGUACAGUAUACCCUGCUAUGCAGUACAGAAUGGAGGAGACUGCUGUGCAAGAGCAGGAAAGGGCAAACACUGCUGCACCUAACAUUUCCAGAUAUAUUUGUAUACUGUGCAAAAUAUAGAGAAGAAAACUUGGCUGCAUUGACUGUAAAACAGUGUAAAGACAACAGAUCCAGGUCAUUUAAAGGGAUGUUUCAGAAUAGCUGAGUCAGGGGCAUGUUUGCUGUCAUGUUGCAUCACUUUUUCUUUUUUUAACAGCGCUCUGUAAACACUUUAAAACCCAGGAGACCAGUACCUGGAGUUUUGAAAGGGAUGUUUUUCUUCCACCCACUCCUAAAACAAGUGUAGGGUUUCAACAAUUCAGGGUUUUGUUGGGACAGCAGGCAAAUUAAGCACCAGGACUCUUCUACUGCAGAGCUGAAUGUGCAGAAUGUGGUUUAGCAUAACAUCUUUUAGAAAUAUGAAAACGUUGUCUGGAUGGCGUUGUCGUGUUUCGCUCCAAAACCUGCAUAUAUUGUCCAGUUCCAGUUUCCUGACUGUUGAGUGGUGACCUUGAUUGGCUGUUUUUCUUUUUUUUAGCCUUUAGAUUGAGUGUGGGCGUUUGAAGCUCUGUCACAGCCAGCAGGUUUUAAGUGUGUCUGCGGGUAACUUUAGCAGUUUAAUUUUAUAGCUCUGUCUGUUGCUAUGGAGACGUCAUUUAACGUGACAUCCGCGGCUGCUAACUAAUUUCAGCAUCUCGGCGAACGUUGUGUACGUGUGCAAACCGCUCACUGUGACAUAAAGAGAAAAGAUGAAAGUAGGUAAGGUUAACGCUGUAGGAGAAAUAUAGACAAGUGUGAUCACAGAAAUUGGCAAAAAAAAAUUACAACAAAUAAAUAAAAUGCAUGGAGGCAUUCUUAUGGGGAAGAACCUUUAUUUUUUUUGUAAAACUGAGUUUUUUUCACCCCAAAAAAUCAGAUUAGCAGACUUAGAUUUGGUUUUAUAAUAUGGGUCCAAGAGACUUGUCCUCAGGUCCAGAUAAGAUUCUCUGAAUUUCAAGCUCGUUUUGCUCAUUCACUUCAGUCUUGUCCAUUACAUAUCGAUAAAUAAUCUAAUUCUUUACCUCAGAGGAGACUUCAGACUCAGCUGUUUGGACGUGUUUCAAAUACAUCAUUCAGGUUCAACAUAAAUGGUCACACCAUUACCUCAAAGCGAGCGUCAGUCCUCUCUGCCAAGUUUAAAUACAGUUUUGCCAUUACAGGAUUAAUGUAACCAUGUCGUACCGAACACCUGCUCACACCUGCCGGGAGGAUGACAUUGACUACAUCAACCAAGGUCAAACUCAACUGUGAUUAAUGUCUGUUAAUUGGUACGAACAUCAGAGAAAGUAAAUUACAGCAAAGAGAGCAAACGCUCCAUCAUGUUUAACUGCAGUUACAGAGGCGGCAGUCACAUUUGUUAUGGCACACCUAAAACCUGCAACAUGGCAGCAUGACGGAUUAUGGAGACCCGGGGCGACAAACAAUAUGGGACUUGUGAAACCUGAUAUGUUUGUUUUGUUUGUUUUUCAUGGGGUAACAUCAAAACCCGAAUAAAGUUUAUAAUCUAUCAACAAAAACACACACAAAAAACCACAAGUGUAUAUUUUAGCAUGGAAAUGUCUCCAUAAACAUGCUUCAGAUCCAACUUUAUAAAUCAUUUAAUUCAGUUUCAACCAAUGAUGUGGUUGAAACUGAAAGAAACCAUGAUUCUAAUUACCUUUUAACAAAGUUUCCAAACUUUUUUCUUGAAUUUGGGUUGAAAUCAGUCGUAUUACUUUUAAAUUUAUGCGAGAUAUGACUGUGUAUUCCCAGUGGAGCCUCUGCUUUUGUGCCACAAGUUCAGCGGUUUAAUUAAAAGGAAUAUAGUGGGUGGGUUUGUUUGUGUGUGGUGGCGAGCCUUCCUCCUUCUUUUUAGAGGUAAUCUGGAUAAAAAUCCACAACUGAAUUAAAUUUAAGGAGCUACUCACGAUCCUGAAGUGGAAACACAUAAGGAGCUGUCAUGGUUGUGUUUGCGGCGCUGUCCAAGGUGCUGAUCCUGUCAGUACAGCUGGUGUGGCCUAAAACGGUCCUUUUUAACACUUCAGCCCAUUCAUAUCUUCAUUUAAGUGUAUAACUGACUGCUAUAGUGUUCUUGUAACCAGGAACGACCAUAUUUGGUCAACAAUGUGAAAGCAUCGUGUUGCGUGUCUAUUUUGUUUGUAGGUGUCCUCCGAUGACGCCCAUGAUGCUAAAUUUGUUUUCUACUUUUUGCUGAUGGGCUUCACUGUCUCCGCCAAAAACCUCAAACAUGGACGUCCCCAGUCAUGGACGCCAUGACUCAGGACCAUGUGUCACCUCGUUUAGAUUCAGGCUAUAAGAUGGUAAUCAUACAGUCACAUAGGUAGUGACACCGAUGUCAACAUGAGGUUGACACUGAUAUCAUUAAGUCGAUGUAAGCGUGCGAGGACAUCCUUUCCUACAUUAUCAACCAGAGCACACAGGGACAAUCCACGUCAUUAUGCUGUUGAUUCUGCGUGCACACACUCUGAGUUGCCUGUCAAGCUUCUUUCAGCACCCACCAUGAUUAAUGAGUCAUUGAGUCUUGGGGAGAGGGGGCGGGGGGACAACUCAGCUCAUGUCAACAACGCUGACUGUGUGUGCUCGCAUCACGUGCUGCUCACUAGUCGCUGCUCCUUUCUGCCUGCUCACUUCAGACGCCACAGUCCAGGAGAAAUAAAACUCUCCUGCAGUGGAUGUCCUCGCCAAUUACCAACUUGGAGGGGGUUGUUAGAAAAACACACACCACUCCCCCAGGCGAGCACCCGAAUUAAUACAAUCAAGCACAGAUAGUGUGGAGAGAAAAGUCUAUCCAUCUCACUUUCUUGUGUCUGGUAAUGGUACCCAGUGUCUUCUGGUAAUGGCCUCUCUGCCACGCAGAGAGCAGCCACAUAUUAAUGAAUGUUGCCAUUUGCAUGCGCAAGUAGCUUCUGAGGGUCUAUCAAAGCAAAUUGCUUUAUCUGGAAGGAACGUGACCCUGCCAAUGACUGGGUUUUGUAAAUAAGCCAUUAUCCAUCUAAAGCAUAAUUACGUUGUAAAUGUCAGCGGGUUGCGGGGCCUCGAUGACCCCGGUCUGGAAUUUUACAGGAGUCUAGUUCAGAAACGGAGCACAUAUUAAAUGUACACAAGCUGUAAGGAUAGAGGGGCUGCAGAGCUGCUAAAUAUGUAUGCACGGCUUCAUGUUCACGAGCAGGUGCUGCUGUGAUCAAUGCGGUUAUUAAAUCGAGAUUGGAAGGUAUAGAAAUGUGUGAGUAUCUCUGCCUUGACAGGUCUUUAUAGAAAUAUUCAUCUCAGUUAUAAAGAAGUGCGAGCUAACACGCAGCCUGAGAUCGCUCCUGCAAACAUUUUGUUCCUCUGUUAUUCUGCUGAACGUCACGAGAUGAGUCAUAAUCCUGACACACAAAGCCUGCAACUCUAACGCUAUAAAAUUACAGCUUUAAUCCUGAAAAUUUAAGACAUUUCUUUUAUAAUAAGCUUCAUUUUAUCAUUUUUUUUAUUCUUAUUUAUUCUGUUUCCAGCAGCUAACAUGCUCAUUCACCUGCAUGCACAUUUGUCAGUUCAGUUACAGCUGUAAGGAUGCCUGAAGAGCCCAAAAAUCAUGAGUUUGACUUUUUCAUUGUGGGAGCCGAACACUUGACUCGGGUAAUGUGGACCUGACUUGGACUCUCUUCCCUCUGCUCAGACUUUGAGGACUUGAGACUCAGUCCUGGGUUUAUAGUUUGGUGACGUGUCUGUUUGCACAUCGCUGCGGGGCUACAAAAACAUACUGUAGAUACUAAAUGUUGUUCUCCUGCUUUAAAUGACAUAAAACUACAUAAACUGUUGGGUUUUAUCACUCUUGCAGUUAAUUUCUAGUCUUUUGGAAACUUCCUACUUUUGCAACUUAAGCUACUUGUGCAAUCUUUAUUUUAUGACCAAAGCUCAAUAUACUUUUCUUUUAGCACCUUUGCAUCCCAGAUCUGUUAGACAUCAGGUCCAUCUGCUGAGAAGGCACGAGUUUAAUGUAUUUACCAGUAUAAUCAAAUAUUUCACACAAACCGUGUUACAGCUGACGUAAAAGUUACAGCUGCAGCUGUAUUUUUCAUGCCUUGUAAACCUUGAAGGUUGUUUCCAUCAAUCAAAGCAGGUACAACACACCUCCAGUUUUAACUUUUAGCCUUUAGGCAGAGCUUCUUUUUAACAUUUGGCUUCCCUGUGUGUGUGUGUGUGUGUCUGUGUGUGUUUGCUGUCAAUGUUGUUAGCCUGUGUGCAUGCAUAGGUCCUCUUUAAGUGUGUCUUAUGCAUGCAGGUCUUCACUCCUCACUUUGCAGGAAUCCAUAGCAACACAGCCGCCUAAACACACACAGAGGAUGGGAUCAAAUGCAUGCUGUGAAAAGCUGGAGGUGUGAGAAGGAACCUGAACUACAGAUUUUCUGUUUUUGUUUAACAAGAGAAGAAACGUCUGUGUGUGCGUUCAGACGCUCCGAGG